UACAGAGGGGGCAAGCGUUGUCCGGAUUUACUGGGCGUACAGCGCGCGCAGGCGGUUGCGUAUGUGAGCGGUGACAUCCGCGGGCUCAACCCGCGGCGGCCCGCUUACACAGCGCGACUGGAGGCAGGGAGAGGGAUGUGGAAUUCCCGGUGUAGCGGUGAAAUGCGCAGAUAUCGGGAGGAACACCCGUAGCGAAGGCGGCACUCUGGGCCGGAACUGACGCUGAGGAGCGAAAGCGUGGGGAGCAAACAGG
rnacentral:rRNA from 1 species